UACGUAGGGAGCGAGCGUUGUCCGGAAUUACUGGGCGUAAAGGGCGCGUAGGCGGGAUAUUAAGUCAGGUGUGAAAACGUAGGGCUUAACUUUACGAUUGCACAUGAAACUAAUAUUCUUGAGGACAGGAGAGGAAAGCGGAAUUCCUAGUGUAGCGGUGAAAUGCGUAGAUAUUAGGAGGAACACCAGUGGCGAAGGCGGCUUUCUGGACUGUAACUGACGCUGAGGCGCGAAAGCGUGGGUAGCGAACGGGAUUAGAUACC
rnacentral:rRNA from 1 species